AGUGAACGCUGGCGGUAGGCCUAACACAUGCAAGUCGAACGGCAGCACCGUAAGAGCUUGCUCUUACGGGUGGCGAGUGGCGGACGGGUGAGGAAUACAUCGGAAUCUACUUUUUCGUGGGGGAUAACGUAGGGAAACUUACGCUAAUACCGCAUACGACCUACGGUUGAAAGCAGGGGAUCUUCUGACCUUGCGCGAUUGAAUUAGCCGAUGUCGGAUUAGCUAGUUGGCGGGGUAAAGGCCCACCAAGGCGACGAUCCGUAGCUGGUCUGAGAGGAUGAUCAGCCACACUGGAACUGAGACACGGUCAAGACUCCUACGGGAGGCAGCAGUGGGGAAUAUUGGACAAUGGGCGCAAGCCUGAUCCAGCCAUACCGCGUGGGUGAAGAAGGCCUUCGGGUUGUAAAGCCCUUUUGUUGGGAAAGAAAAGCAGCAGGUUAAUACCCCGCUGUUCUGACGGUACCCAAAGAAUAAGCACCGGCUAACUUCGUG
rnacentral:rRNA from 1 species